CAACUUUGUAAUGAUUCACAGCACUCUCUAAACUGUUUACAGAGUCAACAUCUUGCCCCAAAUCUCGGGGUCCUCAUUUUACCGAUCCCGGAAGGAUAGAAGACUGAGUCAACCUGGAGCCGGUCAGGAUCGAACUCCUGAGAGUGGGAGAGUUUGCCUGCAAUACUGCAUUCUAACCAGUGCCCUCUUUAAACAGUUUACAGAGUCAGCCUGUUGCCCCCAACCAUCUGGGCCCUCAUUUUACCAACCCUGGAAGGAUGGAAGGCUGAGUCGACCUGGAGCCAGUCAGGAUCGAACUCCUGACAGUGGGCAGUGUUUGCCUACAGUACUGCAUUCUAACCACUGCUCCACCACAGCUCAAGGAUCCUGGAUAAGGUUCAAAAUAUGAUGAUGAUGAUGAUGAUGAUGAUGAUGAUGAUGAUGAUGAUGAUAAGGAGAGGAGGAGGAGAGGGGGAGGAAGAGGAAGAGGAAGAGGAGAAAGGAAAAGAAGAAAGGGAAGAAAAGAGGAAGAAGGGGAAGAAG